GGCUCAGCUCAGGGCUUCUGACAUUCCAGCGGGGCCCCCCCACCGGGCGGCCAUCCCUCGCUGCCUGAUCCUUCGAGAGGAGGAAGCACGAGAGCCCUCGAGUUUGGCGUCGAGGCUGCGCAGCCAAACAAAACCCGGCCACCUAUCAGUUCCUUGAAUCUUGCUCUUGUUCUUCAGACCCCCCUGAAUCCCUCCGAGAACUCAGCCCAGCAGCAGCGAGACAGAGAGUGAGCGAGCAAGAGAGAGACCACCCCCUUUCCAGCUGGCCCCUGUCCACUCGUCAUCUGGGCUGGAGGCGCUGCAGCACCAGAUCGCUCUAGCUACCCUCCCUAACACACGCAAUUACACCAUUCAUCAACCUCACUUAGACAUUUCAAUCCCCACAGCCACACGCCAGUGUGCCAGACUCCAAAGGCUGCAAGAAGAAUUGCUGGAACCGGAUCCUGCUCCCAUUGAAGUCAAUAGCAAAACUCCCAUUGAUUUAACGAUCGGUAAGUAGGUUACCUGUGUUCACCAUGAGGGGAAAAUCACGUUGCAUAUUGGCUGGGUACUAAGAUCGCUAGAUAGUUAUCAGGAAUCUGCGAUGUUAAAAGGAAUAAUAUAUCUGAAAAGAUCAAAUGAGCACUGAAUGAAAGGGGCGUGAUUACAGGAGUGAGUAUGUUCUUUCGAGUAAUUUUUAGCUGCAUCGUGUAUAUGUCGGUUAGGGAGGUAAGCUCAAGGUCCAAUGGAAAGUUUCUUUUUGAAUACUAUCAUAUAGCAUGCUCCUUUCUCCAGUUUUCUUUCUUUUUCUUAUUAUUGGGGCAUGAUUGAAGCUGAGAACUGGCUCUUCUGAUGAAAUGACAUGAAAAUAGUUGCAUUAAGGAAGAAGAUAGAAACUAUAGAGGAAACUGAUAAUUGGAUGCAAGAGCAAAACCACAAGGAAUUCAGUGGCACUGCAUAAUAAUCUUGAUUUUGAUAUUUUGUAUAGGUGGACAGAAUAAAAUCAAAUUACAGAUGUUGAAUCAAAUAAAAAUAAGAUGAAAAAUAGUAUUUGAUGUUAUUAGGACCAUCUUUUGUACUCUUUAUAUGAGAACAUUCUUUAA